UACAUGUGGGGCAAGCGUUGUUCGGAAUUACUGGGCAUAAAGGGUGCGUAGGCGGUCCGACAAGUCAGGGGUGAAAUCUUGCAGCUUAACUGCAAAAGUGCCUUUGAUACUGUCGGUCUUGAGGGAGAUAGGGGUGUGCGGAACUUCCAGUGGAGCGGUGAAAUGCGUUGAUAUUGGAAGGAACGCCGGUGGCGAAAGCGGCGCACUGGAUCUCUUCUGACGCUGAGGCGCGAAAGCUAGGGGAGCAAACGGG
rnacentral:rRNA from 1 species